CGAGGGUGCAAGCGUUAAUCGGAGUUACUGGGCGUAAAGGGUGCGUAGGCGGAUAUUCAAGUCGGGUGUGAAAGCCCCGGGCUCAACCUGGGAACUGCAUUCGAUACUGGGUAUCUAGAGUAUGGUAGAGGGAAGUGGAAUUUCCGGUGUAGCGGUGAAAUGCGUAGAUAUCGGAAAGAACACCAAUGGCGAAGGCAGCUUCCUGGACCAAUACUGACGCUGAGGCACGAAAGCGUGGGGAGCAAACAGGAUUAGAGACCCGAGUAGUCC
rnacentral:rRNA from 1 species